rnacentral:misc_RNA from 1 species
UCCGAGUUGACCCCGGCAGUCUUCGAUGAGUCCCCGGCCGAACCGCUGGCAACAUCGAACAAGGGUUGCGCUCGUUGCGGGACUUAACCCAACAUCUCACGACACGAGCUGACGACAGCCAUGCACCACCUGUGAACGCCCCCGAAGGACACCACAUCUCUGCGGUUUUAGCGCCCAUGUCAAACCCAGGUAAGGUUCAUCGGUUAUCAUCGAAUUAAGCCGCAUGCUCCGCCGCUUGUGCGGGCCCCCGUCAAUUCCUUUAUGUUUUAGUCUUGCGACCGUACUCCACAGGCGGGAUACUUAACGCGUUAGCUUCGCUACUGGAGGGGUCGAUACCUCCAACAGCUAGUAUCCAUCGUUUACGGCGUGGACUAC